rnacentral:rRNA from 1 species
UGGGGAAUAUUGCACAAUGGGCGCAAGCCUGAUGCAGCCAUGCCGCGUGUAUGAAGAAGGCCUUCGGGUUGUAAAGUACUUUCAGCGGGGAGGAAGGGAGUAAAGUUAAUACCUUUGCUCAUUGACGUUACCCGCAGAAGAAGCACCGGCUAACUCCGUGCCAGCAGCCGCGGUAAUACGGAGGGUGCAAGCGUUAAUCGGAAUUACUGGGCGUAAAGCGCACGCAGGCGGUUUGUUAAGUCAGAUGUGAAAUCCUCGGGCUCAACCUGGGAACUGCAUCAGAUACUGGCCAGCUUGAGUCUCGUAGAGGGGGGUAGAAUUCCAGGUGUAGCGGUGAAAUGCGUAGAGAUCUGGAGGAAUACCGGUGGCGAAGGCGGCCCCCUGGACGAAGACUGACGCUCAGGUGCGAAAGCGUGGGGAGCAAACAGG